rnacentral:rRNA from 1 species
GCUACGGGAGGCAGCAGUGAGGAAUAUUGGUCAAUGGGCUUACGCCUGAACCAGCCAAGUCGCGUGAGGGAAGACUGCCCUAUGGGUUGUAAACCUCUUUUGUCAGGGAGCAACGCCGGCUACGUGUAGCCGGACUGAGAGUACCUGAAGAACAAGCAUCGGCUAACUCCGUGCCAGCAGCCGCGGUCAUACGGAGGAUGCGAGCGUUAUUCGGAUUGAUUGGGGUUAAGGGAUGCGUAGGCGGCAUGCCAAGUCAGCGGGAAAAUCACGGGGCUCAACCUCGCUCCGCCGGUGAAACUGGCGUUCUUGAGUGGGCGAGAAGUAUGUGGAAUGAGUGGUGUAGCGGUGAAAUGCAUAGAUAUCACGCAGAACUCCGAUUGCGAAGGCAGCAGACCGGCGCCCAACUGACGCUGAAGCACGAAAGCGUGGGUAGCGAACAGGAUUAGAUACCCGAGUAGUC